UGGGGAAUUUUGGACAAUGGGCGCAAGCCUGAUCCAGCAAUGCCGCGUGCAGGAUGAAGGCCCUCAGGGUUGUAAACGGCUUUUAUUCGGGAAGAAGAGCACGGAUGCGUCUGUGUGUGACGGUACCUGAGGAAUAAGCUCCGGCUAACUUCGUGCCAGCAGCCGCGGUAAUACGAAGGGAGCUAGCGUUGUUCGGAAUUACUGGGCGUAAAGGGCGCGUAGGCGGUAAGAUAAGUCAGAUGUGAAAGCCUUGGGCUUAACCUGAGAACUGCAUUUGAUACUGUCUAACUAGAGGACGAGAGAGGAAAGUGGAAUUACGAGUGUAGAGGUGAAAUUCGUAGAUAUUCGUAAGAACACCAGUGGCGAAGGCGACUUUCUGGCUCGUUUCUGACGCUAAGGCGCGAAAGCGUGGGGAGCAAACA
rnacentral:rRNA from 1 species